rnacentral:rRNA from 1 species
AGGUCAAGUUACUAAGAGCGCACGGCGGAUGCCUUGGCGCCAAGAGCCGAUGAAGGA